rnacentral:rRNA from 1 species
UACGGGAGCAGCAGUGGGGAAUAUUGCACAAUGGGCGAAAGCCUGAUGCAGCUAUGCCGCGUGUAUGAAGAAGGCCUUAGGGUUGUAAAGUACUUUCAUCGGGGAGGAAAAACAAAACUAAUAAUUUUAUUUCUUGACGUUACCCGAAAAAGAAGCACCGGCUAACUCCGUGCCAGCAGCCGCGGUAAUACGGAGGGUGCUAGCGUUAAUCAGAAUUACUGGGCGUAAAGAGCACGUAGGUGGUUUUUUUAAGUCAGAUGUGAAAUCCCUGGGCUUAACCUAGGAACUGCAUUUUGAAACUGAAAUACUAGAGUAUCGUAGAGGGAGGUAGAAUUCUAGGUGUAGCGGUGAAAUGCGUAGAUAUCUGGAGGAAUACCUGUGGCGAAAGCGGCCUCCUAAACGAAUACUGACACUGAGGUGCGAAAGCGUGGGGAGCAAACAGGGAUUAGAUACC